UGUAUGCAGAUGUGACGAACAAGUGGGAGAAGAGUUCAUGGGGUAGGAAACUUAUUGUGCACAAGAGAAGAGCUUCCCUCAAUGAUUUUGACAGGUUCAAGGUCAUGUUGGCCAAAAUCAAGAGGGCUAGUAUCGUAAGGCAGGAGCUUGCUAAGCUAAAAAAGGAGAUCACUGCUUGAUUUCUUACUUCAUUAUUAUCAUCAUACUCACCACCAGUUUCUUAUUUUUGAAUCUGUUCUCUAGUUCAGAUUAUGAGAUCAAUUUUGCCUGAUAGUUAGCUACUGAAUUUUCUUUUGCUAUAGAAGAAUAUUACAGUUUCAGUUUAGUUAUUCAGCGAACCAGAUUUUUCCUAA